rnacentral:ncRNA from 2 species
UAAUCAUUCAUAAACAUUACUCGUAUAUGCUCAGUAAUAUGGUCUGAGCGUUUCUACCUGGUUCCCAUUGAAAGAACUAGACUACGGGUUAAAGUAUACUUGGU